rnacentral:rRNA from 1 species
AUUGAACGCUGGCGGCAGGCUUAACACAUGCAAGUCGAGCGGAGAUGAGGUGCUUGCACCUUAUCUUAGCGGCGGACGGGUGAGUAAUGCUUAGGAAUCUGCCUAUUAGUGGGGGACAACAUUCCGAAAGGAAUGCUAAUACCGCAUACGUCCUACGGGAGAAAGCAGGGGAUCUUCGGACCUUGCGCUAAUAGAUGAGCCUAAGUCGGAUUAGCUAGUUGGUGGGGUAAAGGCCUACCAAGGCGACGGUCUGUAGCGGGUCUGAGAGGAUGAUCCGCCGAACUGGGACUGAGACACGGCCCAGACUCCUACGGGAGGCAGCAGUGGGGAAUAUUGGACAAUGGGGGGAAACCUGAUCCAGCCAUGCCGCGUGUGUGAAGAAGGCCUUAUGGUUGUAAAGCACUUUAAGCGAGGAGGAGGCUACUGAGACUAAUACUCUUGGAUAGUGGACGUUACUCGCAGAAUAAGCACCGGCUAACUCUGUGCCAGCCGCCGCGGUAA